rnacentral:rRNA from 1 species
AACGAACGCUGGCGGCGUGCCUAACACAUGCAAGUCGAGCGCGAAAGGAGCAAUCCGAGUAGAGCGGCGCACGGGUGCGUAACACGUGGGUAAUCUGCCUCAGGGUUGAGGAUAACCUUCUGAAAGGUUGGCUAAUACUCGGUAAGCUUACGGUGACUUCGGUCGCUGUGAGAAAACUAGACCUCUAUUUAUAAGUUUAGGCCCAGAGAUGAGCCCGCGGCCCAUCAGCUAGUGGGCGGGGUAACGGCCCACCAAGGCAACGACGGGUAGCUGGUCUGAGAGGACGAUCAGCCACACUGGAACUGAGACACGGUCCAGACUCCUACGGGAGGCAGCAGUGGGGAAUUUUCCACAAUGGGCGAAAGCCUGAUGGAGCGACGCCGCGUGUGUGAUGAAGGUCUUCGGAUCGUAAAGCACUUUCGACCGGGACGAAAAACCUCUGGCUAACAUCCAGGGGCCUGACGGUACCAGGAGAAGAAGCACCGGCUAACUCUGUGCCAGCAGCCGCCGUAAAAC